rnacentral:rRNA from 1 species
UACAGAGGGUGCAAGCGUUAAUCGGAAUUACUGGGCGUAAAGGGCGCGUAGGCGGUUAUUUAAGUUAGAUGUGAAAUCCCUGGGCUUAACCUAGGAACUGCAUCUGAUACUGGGUAACUGGAGUACUGUAGAGGGUAGUGGAAUUUCCGGUGUAGCGGUGAAAUGCGUAGAUAUGCGGAGGAACACCGAUGGCGAAGGCAAUCCCCUGGGCCUGCACUGACGCUCAUGCACGAAAGCGUGGGGAGCAAACAGG